rnacentral:tRNA from 1 species
GCGUCGGUGGCAGAGUGGUCAAAUGCAGCAGGCUGUAAACUUGCCGGGCUUAGCCCUACGUUGGUUCAAAUCCAACCCGGCGCACAA